rnacentral:rRNA from 1 species
CUGCAUGAAGCUGGAAUCGCUAGUAAUCGCGAAUCAGCAUGUCGCGGUGAAUACGUUCCCGGGUCUUGUACACACCGCCCGUCACACCAUGGGAGUCAGCAACGCCCGAAGUCAGUGACCUAACCGAAAGGAAGGAGCUGCCGAAGGCGGGGCAGGUAACUGGGGUGAAGUCGUAACAAGGUAGC